UACGUAGGGUGCAAGCAUUAAUCGGAUUCAUUGGGCGUAAGGAGCGUGUAGGCGGGAAAGAAAGUUAGAUGUGAAAGCCCGGGGCUCAACUCCGGAACUGCAUCUAAAACUCCUUUUCUAGAGGAUGGACGGAGAAAAUGGAAUUCCACGUGUAGCGGUGAAAUGCGUAGAUAUGUGGAAGAACACCAGUGGCGAAAGCGAUUUUCUAGUUUAGACCUGACGCUGAGGCGCGAAAGCUAGGGGAGCAAACAGG
rnacentral:rRNA from 1 species